UGGGGAAUAUUGCACAAUGGGGGAAACCCUGAUGCAGCAAUGCCGCGUGGGUGAAGAAGCACUCCGGUGCGUAAAGCCCUGUCAGCAGGGAAGAAAAUGACAGUACCUGACCAAGAAGCCCCGGCUAACUACGUGCCAGCAGCCGCGGUAAUACGUAGGGGGCAAGCGUUAUCCGGAUUUACUGGGUGUAAAGGGAGCGCAGGCGGUAUGGCAAGUCAGAUGUGAAAACCCAGGGCUCAACCCUGGGACUGCAUUUGAAACUGCCAUACUGGAGUGCCGAAGAGGUAAGUGGAAUUCCUAGUGUAGCGGUGAAAUGCGUAGAUAUUAGGAGGAACACCAGUGGCGAAGGCGGCUUACUGGACGGUAACUGACGCUGAGGCUCGAAAGCGUGGGGAGCAAACAGG
rnacentral:rRNA from 1 species